rnacentral:rRNA from 1 species
UGGGGAAUAUUGCACAAUGGGGGAAACCCUGAUGCAGCGACGCCGCGUGAACGAAGAAGGUAUUCGUAUCGUAAAGUUCCGUCCUAUGGGAAGAUAAUGACAGUACCAUAGAAGAAAGCUCCGGCUAAAUACGUGCCAGCAGCCGCGGUAAUACGUAUGGAGCGAGCGUUGUCCGGAAUUAUUGGGCGUAAAGGGUACGCAGGCGGUUUAAUAAGUCGAAUGUUAAAGAUCGGGGCUCAACCCCGCAAAGCAUUGGAAACUGAUAAACUUGAGUAGUGGAGAGGAAAGUGGAAUUCCUAGUGUAGUGGUGAAAUACGUAGAUAUUAGGAGGAAUACCAGUAGCGAAGGCGACUUUCUGGACACAAACUGACGCUGAGGUACGAAAGCGUGGGGAGCAAACAGG